AAAUAAGAAGCGAAAAAUUGCAAUCAGUUUCGACCUGAAAUUUGGUAUUAAUUACCCUUAUUUA
rnacentral:tRNA from 1 species